UACGUAGGGUCCAAGCGUUGUCCGGAAUUACUGGGCGUAAAGAGCUCGUAGGCGGUUUGUCGCGUUGUUCGUGAAAACUCACAGCUCAACUGUGGGCGUGCGGGCGAUACGGGCAGACUUGAGUACUGCAGGGGAGACUGGAAUUCCUGGUGUAGCGGUGGAAUGCGCAGAUAUCAGGAGGAACACCAGUGGCGAAAGCGGCCACCUGGACUGUACCUGACGCUCAAACACGAAAGCUAGGGGAGCGAACGGG
rnacentral:rRNA from 1 species